rnacentral:lncRNA from 1 species
UUAAAGGUCUUUUUCAGGUAUCCAUAGGGGUGUCAGUUCCCGAACCGAAAACCGAACCGUACCGAAAACCGAACCGAAAAAUUCGAUUUUUUCGGUUCGGUUCGGUUUUUAUUAAAAACCGAAGUUUUCGGUUCGGUUCGGUUUUUAUCGGUUAACCGAACCGAACUGAACCAAUAAACCGAAAAGUAGAACCAUUAAGAUUAACCAAACCGGCACAAGCCAACCCUACUUCUAAUUCUCUCCCGUCUCCUCUCGUCUUGAAGGUGCGACGGCGACUGUGGCUGCGACAGCGACAGGGACGGCGACAGCGGCAGGGACGGUGACGGCAAUGGCGACAAGGACGGCGACCGAUUGAGGGACCGGUUGUUCCGCCACGCCCUUUUCUCUUCUUCUUCUCCUUCUUUGUCGGCAGCGGUGACUCAGGGAGCUGUGUGCUGUGCUGGGUCGAGCAACGGCGCUUCAGAGACUGACCCUUUUGUCCUCACGACGCCGCUCUACUACGUCAAGGGGGGGUUGUUUUUUGAUUGAAAUCACUCUAGUGGGAUGGCGUAGCGGUGAAAGUGGAGAUUUUGGGCAAGUGGGUUUGUGUUUAUUCUGAUCCAGAAGUUGAUUUAUUUCAAAUGCCAUCGGCACGACGUGAUUGGCAUGGUGUGUCCCCGAUUUACAUUUGCCUUGAGCGCAGCGAUAUCAGUUUAGUUAAUUGGGUGGUUUGAGGAUGUCGUGGCUUGACCUCUUUUAUAUGCAAGAAGAAAAUUUGGGUUUUCUCUGUCAGCUGGUCCCAAUUUAUUUUGUGAUAGGUUUGGGGCAUGAAGUUGCUUCCUUUGAGUUGGAAGAGAUGGACAGUGAGCGGCCAAAUUGGGUGUUCCCAUUGUUUUCUUUUCUGGUUUAGUUGUUUUGAAUUAUUGGUACAUUGAGUUUGGUUUGUCUGUGUGUGGUUUUGCAGGCAUUCUGUGAAAUAUAUGUUAUGAGGGAAUUAGGUAUUGCUUCCUUUAUGGAGAAUCCUCAUCUGAAUUGGUACUUCAGAAAGCAGAGGAUGUUUCGUGGUUGUUGGUGUUAUUGUCAUAGUGCUCUCUUGUAGUGUUCGGUGUUGCAAAGCACCGGGAAGGAGAAAAGGAGAAGAUAUGAGAUUCUGCUGUAGUAUGCGGUGUGCGUAUUUUGAAUUGGUUGAGUUCAAGAAGCCCUUCCCUGGCAUGAGUUGCAUCUGUUAAUGCUUGAAGCCCACAGGUUCUGUGCAUUUAGGGCGAGGCUUGAGUGGAGAACAUAUUGGAGGUCUUCAUUUGUGUGAUUUAUAAUCAUAGUGGAUUUCGCUUUGUACAAUGUUACUGUAUGGAGAGUUUGCUUGCCAAAUUUAAUGUGUAGAGAAGAGUAUUGACUGAGGCCCCUGCUUUAAACUGUGCUGUCCUUCUUAUACGUGUUGUAUGUAUGCAAUAAGAAGAGAAAUGUUCACUGUACAGGUUUUGCUGACAUAUUGAAUUUAGAUUUUUUUUUUUUUUGGUCAGAAAUUUGUAUUUCAUACUAACGAUUUGAUGGAUUACAUAAUGUUUCAAGAUCAAGACAUAAAAUAGAGCAUAGUGGAGGUGGGGGAUUCUGUUUCCAAGUUGGUGGUUGAACAGAAAAAAAAAAAAAAAAACCGAAAACCGAAAACCGAAAAACCGAACCGAACCGAACCGAAAUUUCGAUUCGGUUCGGUUCGGAAAAAUUUUCUAACGGUUCAGUUCGGUUCGGUUUUUUUGAAAAACCGAA